AUUUUGGUACUCAAAAUGUUGGACGUCAGCUGAUAUGGCACGCCGAAAGAGUCACAAACAAAAUGUUUAAAUUUAAAAAAAAAAAAGUUUCGCCACAACGCUAUCUAGCGGUAAAAUAUAGAACUGCAUGCAAAAUGCAAAAUUCCCUUUUCUUGCCCCAAUAGGCCAAUACGCGAAAUUUUCGCUUAUUCGUCAGAACGUGACAAGUUGUAUGAGUCAACAAUCAUCGUUAAGCUAGCUUCGAAAAUUACCAAAGAUUCAUAGUCAGAGUAAACGUGAAGUCAUGCAACCUACCGUCAACUAUUUUGUUCAAACUCAUUGUAUUCUACUGAAUGUGUCAUCAAAAUGAUACAGAUCACCGACCCCAGCAUGGAACAAUCUCUCAUUCCAUCUUAUACAGAAUCUUGGGUAACUGAUUUGUGGUUUCAUGUUUCUGAAUUGGCAUGACUGACUAUAUGAGAAGUUAUGUCCUUCCAAGAAAAGGACUUACAGCGUUACAGUCAACAAGAUUUCUUAUUUGCUAACCCGUUGGCUGCUACCCAUGAAUCUCCCUAUUCAACAACAAAAAAAGAGGUUAAAUAUUGUGAUCAUGCUAUCAUCAUUAUGUUGCCUAUAAGACCAAAUGUGGGACAUAUGGUUAUCCCUCCAAAAUAAGGCAAUGACCACACGUUCAACGCGGAUCAUUCGCUUUGUCAUCGAACUUGACUCAUUCCAUCUUCUGGAUUGCUUAGGAAAGCUGUUUGGUGUUAUUCUGUGUAACUUCAUUGUCAUGUCACUGAAUUUAAAUUUUGUUUACAUUUUGUUUAGCUUGAUUUAGCCAUUUAGGUAAUGACCGAGAAGAUGCGGCCUACAUGAACAUCAUUUAGGCGACCAGCAUCAUUCGA